UACGUAGGGUGCAAGCGUUGUCCGGAAUUAUUGGGCGUAAAGGGCUCGUAGGCGGUUCGUCACGUCGGGAGUGAAAACUCGGAGCUUAACUCCGAGCCUGCUUCCGAUACGGGCAGACUAGAGGUAGGCAGGGGAGAACGGAAUUCCUGGUGUAGCGGUGAAAUGCGCAGAUAUCAGGAGGAACACCGGUGGCGAAGGCGGUUCUCUGGGCAUGAUCUGACGCUGAGGAGCGAAAGUGUGGGGAGCGAACAGG
rnacentral:rRNA from 1 species